UUAAAGGAUUUUCUUUUGCUGAUGAAAAAAAGUACAACUCACAUGUGACUGAGCCAGCUUAUUGGUUACUGCAUAAAUUCCUCAGGCUGGUACUGUUUUAACCUUUGUGACAGUUGUGUAAAAGUAGGUGAUUGUUCACUUGUUUUUUAACUUGUGUGCUCUAAGGUUUGUGACUGCUACUUCCUCUUGUUUUUGUUGAGCAAAAGCACAGACAAAAAUACACUCUUUACAUGCACAUAAUAAACUGUAAUUUAAAAGCAAAACUCAACACGUUUUUCCUUUGUCGUUAAUUUACAAACUGUUUUGAAAAUUGAAACCUUUCAUGUUUAGAACAGAGUUUCAGUCAUUAGAGCUUCAUAAAAUAACUUCCAAGAUUAAAACCUACAACUGGCCCAUUAGAAGUUUUCAAUAGCAAUUCAAUUGGGCUAUACUGCUUCCCAUGGAUGGGCAUUAAAUGAAUACUUAAAGGAGCCAUUAGGAAGGCCUUUUGUACUUCAUAUCACAAACUGUGAUAUGAGGGGUAUGAGGUGACGGUUGAUGGUGAUAAGCUCAAAGAGUCAGGGAUUCAUGAAGUGGGAUAAAAUACAUUAUCAAAUUUAAAUUGAAGAAGUAAUGAUUCAGGUAAAAAAUUAAAUACCUUAUUAACAUCCAACAAAGGAGAUGGAAGCAGCUAUUUGGCUAAAAGAGCCAAUAUGCAAAAAAGAUUCAAUCAAAACUCAGUUACAAAAAUAUAGAAAAUUAUACUUUUUAACAUCAGUUUAUGGCAAUAUAACUUGAAAUGACAUACACGCAAACAAAAUUAUACAUUAAAAAUGGAAAAUGGAAACUAGACAACCGAUUUGUCACUAGAGGAAAUGACAGCAACACAGCACAAGCUUAUAUAUAAUAUCUGUCACUUUAGCUGCGAUCAGAUCCCAGGAGGAUGGCUUCUUCAAAAUGCUCUCUACUUUUUGUGUUGCUUUGCUUUCAAGCUGUUCAAACUGAAGCCUCCUCUUGGACAGCUACGGUCCCUUCCUCAGUUAAAGGUCUCCUUGGAUCCUGUGUGGUGAUCCCCUGUACAUUUGACUACCCAGAUCCAGGGAGGACUCUCACUGAAUUGACAGGGAUGUGGACCAAUCAGACACACCAUCUCAUCAAUCACCCGGUUCAGUCUAAAGUCAUUGAGCAGUAUCGGGCCGAACAGAGCUGCUGGGAGACGUCAGACAAAAGAACUGUUCUCUGAAGAUUGACCCCAUCCAACAAAGUGACCAGGGACCUUUUCAUUUCAGGAUUGAAAUGGCCGGCUAUGAAAAAUAUUCUUACACAGCCAACUCUGUUUCCAUUGCAAUGAUAAGUGAACCAGAGCAAGUCAUUUUCUCUGUGAAAAACGAGUUAAAGGAGGGUGAAACUGUGUCUGCGUCCUGCUCUGUGUAUCACUCCUGCCCUGCUUCUCCUCCUGUCUUCAACUGGAGUCACUCAGGAGAGAACGUUUUCCAACAGCAGCAGCUCGAUGCUGGCCAAUGGAAAGCAACUUCUACUCUGACCUUUAACC